GACGGAGGGUGCUAGCGUUGUUCGGAAUUACUGGGCGUAAAGAGCUCGUAGGCGGUUUGUCGCGUCUGCUGUGAAAACUCGGGGCUUAACCCCGAGCCUGCAGUGGAUACGGGCAGACUAGAGGUAGGUAGGGGAGAAUGGAAUUCCCGGUGUAGCGGUGAAAAUGCGCAGAUAUCGGGAGGAACACCGGUGGCGAAGGCGGUUCUCUGGGCCUUACCUGACGCUGAGAGCGAAAGCGUGGGGAGCGAACAGG
rnacentral:rRNA from 1 species